rnacentral:rRNA from 1 species
GAUGAACGCUGGCGGCGUGCCUAAUACAUGCAAGUCGAGCGAACAGUCGAGGAGCUUGCUCCCUUGACGUUAGCGGCGGACGGGUGAGUAACACGUGGGUAACCUACCUAUAAGACUGGGAUAACUUCGGGAAACCGGAGCUAUUACCGGAUAAUAUUUCGAACCGCAUGGUUCGAUAGUGAAAGAUGGCUUUGCUAUCGCUUAUAGAUGUACCUGCGCCGUAUUAGCUAGUUGGUAAGGUAACGGCUUACCAAGGCAACGAGACGUAGCCGACCUGAGAGGGAGGACGGCUACCAUGUAACUGAGACAGGUUCCCGACACCUAGAGGGAGCAGCAGUAGAGACUCUUACGGGAUGGGGGAAAGCCUGAUGGAGCAAAGUCGCGUGAGUCAUGAAGCUGCUCGGCUCGUAGAGCUCUGUUAGUAUGAAAGAACAAAAGUGUAAGUAACUGGGAACGUCUUGACGGUACCGGAUGAGAAAGCCACGGCUAACUACGUG